GACGAACGCUGGCGGCGUGCUUAACACAUGCAAGUCGAACGGAAAGGCCCUGCUUUUGUGGGGUGCUCGAGUGGCGAACGGGUGAGUAACACGUGAGUAACCUGCCCUUGACUUUGGGAUAACUUCAGGAAACUGGGGCUAAUACCGGAUAGGAGCUCCUGCUGCAUGGUGGGGGUUGGAAAGUUUCGGCGGUUGGGGAUGGACUCGCGGCUUAUCAGCUUGUUGGCGGGGUAGUGGCUUACCAAGGCUUUGACGGGUAGCCGGCCUGAGAGGGUGACCGGCCACAUUGGGACUGAGAUACGGCCCAGACUCCUACGGGAGGCAGCAGUGGGGAAUAUUGCACAAUGGGUGGAAGCCUGAUGCAGCAACGCCGUGUGCGGGAUGACGGCCUUCGGGUUGUAAACCGCUUUCGCUCAUGACGAAGCUUUGUGUGACGGUAGUGGGUAAAGAAGCACCGGCUAACUACGUG
rnacentral:rRNA from 1 species